AUGCUGGAGGUAUCAGAAGUGCGAAUGCUGACAUAAGUAACGAUAAAGCGGGUGAAAAGCCCGCUCGCCGGAAGACCAAGGGUUCCUGUCCAACGUUAAUCGGGGCAGGGUGAGUCGACCCCUAAGGCGAGGCCGAAAGGCGUAGUCGAUGGGAAACAGGUUAAUAUUCCUGUACUUGGUGUUACUGCGAAGGGGGGACGGAGAAGGCUAUGUUGGCCGGGCGACGGUUGUCCCGGUUUAAGCGUGUAGGCUGGUUUUCCAGGCAAAUCCGGAAAAUCAAGGCUGAGGCGUGAUGACGAGGCACUACGGUGCUGAAGCAACAAAUGCCCUGCUUCCAGGAAAAGCCUCUAAGCAUCAGGUAACAUCAAAUCGUACCCCAAACCGACACAGGUGGUCAGGUAGAGAAUACCAAGGCGCUUGAGAGAACUCGGGUGAAGGAACUAGGCAAAAUGGUGCCGUAACUUCGGGAGAAGGCACGCUGAUAUGUAGGUGAAGUCCCUUGCGGAUGGAGCUGAAAUCAGUCGAAGAUACCAGCUGGCUGCAACUGUUUAUUAAAAACACAGCACUGUGCAAACACGAAAGUGGACGUAUACGGUGUGACGCCUGCCCGGUGCCGGAAGGUUAAUUGAUGGGGUCAGCGCAAGCGAAGCUCUUGAUCGAAGCCCCGGUAAACGGCGGCCGUAACUAUAACGGUCCUAAGGUAGCGAAAUUCCUUGUCGGGUAAGUUCCGACCUGCACGAAUGGCGUAAUGAUGGCCAGGCUGUCUCCACCCGAGACUCAGUGAAAUUGAACUCGCUGUGAAGAUGCAGUGUACCCGCGGCAAGACGGAAAGACCCCGUGAACCUUUACUAUAGCUUGACACUGAACAUUGAGCCUUGAUGUGUAGGAUAGGUGGGAGGCUUUGAAGUGUGGACGCCAGUCUGCAUGGAGCCGACCUUGAAAUACCACCCUUUAAUGUUUGAUGUUCUAACGUUGACCCGUAAUCCGGGUUGCGGACAGUGUCUGGUGGGUAGUUUGACUGGGGCGGUCUCCUCCUAAAGAGUAACGGAGGAGCACGAAGGUUGGCUAAUCCUGGUCGGACAUCAGGAGGUUAGUGCAAUGGCAUAAGCCAGCUUGACUGCGAGCGUGACGGCGCGAGCAGGUGCGAAAGCAGGUCAUAGUGAUCCGGUGGUUCUGAAUGGAAGGGCCAUCGCUCAACGGAUAAAAGGUACUCCGGGGAUAACAGGCUGAUACCGCCCAAGAGUUCAUAUCGACGGCGGUGUUUGGCACCUCGAUGUCGGCUCAUCACAUCCUGGGGCUGAAGUAGGUCCCAAGGGUAUGGCUGUUCGCCAUUUAAAGUGGUACGCGAGCUGGGUUUAGAACGUCGUGAGACAGUUCGGUCCCUAUCUGCCGUGGGCGCUGGAGAACUGAGGGGGGCUGCUCCUAGUACGAGAGGACCGGAGUGGACGCAUCACUGGUGUUCGGGUUGUCAUGCCAAUGGCACUGCCCGGUAGCUAAAUGCGGAAGAGAUAAGUGCUGAAAGCAUCUAAGCACGAAACUUGCCCCGAGAUGAGUUCUCCCUGACUCCUUGAGAGUCCUGAAGGAACGUUGAAGACGACGACGUUGAUAGGCCGGGUGUGUAAGCGCAGCGAUGCGUUGAGCUAACCGGUACUAAUGAACCGUGAGGCUUAACCUU
rnacentral:rRNA from 2 species